rnacentral:rRNA from 1 species
CCUACGGGUGGCAGCAGUGGGGAAUUUUGGACAAUGGGCGCAAGCCUGAUCCAGCUAUUCCGCGUGUGGGAAGACGGCCUUCGGGUUGUAAACCACUUUUGUAGAGAACGAAAAGUCUAUUGAUAAUACCGAUAGAUGAUGACGGUACUCUAAGAAUAAGCACCGGCUAACUACGUGCCAGCAGCCGCGGUAAUACGUAGGGUGCGAGCGUGAAUCGGAAUUACUGGGCGUAACGGGUGUGCAGGCGGUUUUGCAAGAUGGAUGUGAAAGCCCCGGGCUUAACCUGGGAAAGCCAUACAUGACUGCAAGACUAGAGUGCGUCAGAGGGGGGUGGAAUUCCAAGUGUAGCAGUGAAAUGCGUAGAUAUUUGGAAGAACACCGAUGGCGAAGGCAGCCCCCUGGGACGCAACUGACGCUCAUACACGAAAGCGUGGGGAGCAAACAGGAUUAGAUACCCUUGUAGUC